GAUGAAGAACGCAGCGAAAUGCGAUAACUAAUGUGAAUUGCAGAAUUCAGUGAAUCAUCGAGUCUUUGAACGCACAUUGCGCCUUCUGGUAUUCCGGAAGGCAUGCCUGUUCGAGAGUCAUUAACAACCGUUUCGAUCCCUUUCUUUCAGAAAUUACAAAGAGGAAAAGGGUUUGGUUAUGGUGGAGGAGGGAAAGGGAGCGUUUAGCCUGUAAAAAAAGAGGCUGUGUUCCGCCUCCCCCCCAAAAUUGUACAGGCGGUCGUGUGCGCCCACGCAUCGAGGUGUUGUAAAAGCUGCCACGGCACUUUUCACCUGUGCAGUGCGAGAUUGGCCAGCCGGUUUAAAAACCCCUCCAAACAAUCAAAGGUUGACCUCGGAUCAGGUAGGGAUACCCGCUGAACUUAAGCAUAUCAAUAAGCGGAGGA
rnacentral:misc_RNA from 1 species